rnacentral:rRNA from 1 species
GGCGCGCCUAACAAUGCAAGUCGCACGAGAAAGUGGAGCAAUCCAUGAGUAAAGUGGCGUACGGGUGAGUAACACGUGGAUUAUCUACCUCUUAGUGGGGAAUAACCCUGGGAAACCGGGGCUAAUACCGCAUAAUCUCGAGAGAGGAAAGCAGCAAUGCGCUGAGAGAGGAGUCCGCGGCCGAUUAGCUAGUUGGUAGGGUAAAAGCCUACCAAGGCAAAGAUCGGUAGCCGGCCUGAGAGGGCACACGGCCACACUGGCACUGAAACACGGGCCAGACUCCUACGGGAGGCAGCAGUGGGGAAUCUUGCACAAUGGGGGAAACCCUGAUGCAGCGACGCCGCGUGAGCGAUGAAGCCCUUCGGGGUGUAAAGCUCUUUCGGCAGGGAAGAUUAUGACGGUACCUGCAGAAGCAGCUGCGGCUAACUACGUGCCAGCAGCCGCGGUAAUACGUAGGCAGCAAGCGUUGUUCGGAGUUACUGGGCGUAAAGGGUGUGUAGGCGGUUGCUUAAGUUUGGUGUGAAAUCUCCCGGCUCAACUGGGAGGGUGCGCCGAAUACUGAGUGACUCGAGUGCGGGAGAGGAAAGUGGAAUUCCUGGUGUAGCGGUGAAA